ACAGAAUCAUCAAGAUACUGUUCCUGACAGGCUGGAAAGAGCGGCUAUCGGCUAUCGUAGAACAGAGAGGAGAUUCCUCGUCCUGUCAUUUUUAUUGACAAACGUGCUGUGGCAGGCUGUUUUCCCAGAAGUUGACCGGGAGAAGCUGAAGCCCUGCAGUUUCUUCCCUCCCAAGACGCGUGGUUUCCCUGGUAAUGGAUUGCUUCUUCUCUCUGAGCUUCCACCCUGGUGAGGCCUCCCAGGUCUAGUCUGUGAACUCAACU
rnacentral:lncRNA from 1 species